UACGGGGGGGGCAAGCGGUUGUUCGGAAUUACUGGGCGUAAAGGGCUCGUAGGCGGCCAACUAAGUCAGACGUGAAAUCCCUCGGCUUAACCGGGGAACUGCGUCUGAUACUGGAUGGCUUGAGUUUGGGAGAGGGAUGCGGAAUUCCAGGUGUAGCGGUGAAAUGCGUAGAUAUCUGGAGGAACACCGGUGGCGAAGGCGGCAUCCUGGACCAACACUGACGCUGAGGAGCGAAAGCCAGGGGAGCAAACGGGG
rnacentral:rRNA from 1 species